rnacentral:rRNA from 1 species
ACGCUGGCGGCGUGCCUAAUACAUGCAAGUAGAACGCUGAAGGAGGAGCUUGCUUCUCCGGAUGAGUUGCGAACGGGUGAGUAACGCGUAGGUAACCUGCCUGGUAGCGGGGGAUAACUAUUGGAAACGAUAGCUAAUACCGCAUAAAAGUAGAUGUUGCAUGACAUUUGCUUAAAAGGUGCAAUUGCAUCACUACCAGAUGGACCUGCGUUGUAUUAGCUAGUUGGUGGGGUAACGGCUCACCAAGGCGACGAUACAUAGCCGACCUGAGAGGGUGAUCGGCCACACUGGGACUGAAACACGGCCCAGACUCCUACGGGAGGCAGCAGUAGGGAAUCUUCGGCAAUGGACGGAAGUCUGACCGAACAACGCCGCGUGAGUGAAGAAGGUUUUCGGAUCGUAAAGCUCUGUUGUAAGAGAAGAACGAGUGUGAGAGUGGAAAGUUCACACUGUGACGGUAUCUUACCAGAAAGGGACGGCUAACUACGUGCCAGCAGCCGCGGUAAUACGUACGUCCCGAGCGUUGUCCGGAUUUAUUGGGCGUAAAGCGAGCGCACGCGGUUAGAUAAGUCUGAAGUAAAAGGCUGUGGCUUGACCAUACUACGCUUUGGAAACUGUUUAACUUGAGUGCAAGAGGGGAGAGUGGAAUUCCAUGUGUAGCGGUGAAAUGCGUAGAUAUAUGGAGGAACACCGGUGGCGAAAGCAGCUCUCUGGCUUGUAACUGACGCUGAGGCUCGAAAGCGUGGGGAGCAAACAAGAUUAGAUACCCUGGUAGUCCACGCCGUAAACGAUGAGUGCUAGGUGUUAGACCCUUUCCGGGGUUUAGUGCCGCAGCUAACGCAUUAAGCACUCCGCCUGGGGAGUACGACCGCAAGGUUGAACUCAAAGGAAUUGACGGGGGCCCGCAC